rnacentral:rRNA from 1 species
GUGUCAGCAGCCGCGGUAAUACGAAGGGGGCUAGCGUUGUUCGGAAUCACUGGGCGUAAAGCGCACGCAGGCGGAUUGAUAAGUCAGGGGUGAAAUCCCGGAGCUCAACUUCGGAAUUGCCUUUGAUACUGUCUGUCUUCGAGUUCGGGAGAGGUUGGCGGAAUUCCUAGUGUAGAGGUGAAAUUCGUAGAUAUUAGGAAGAACACCAGUGGCGAAGGCGGCCAACUGGCCCGAUACUGACGCUCAUGUGCGAAAGCGUGGGGAGCAAACAGGAUUAGAUACCCUGGUAGUCCACGCUGUAAACUAUGGAUGCUAGCCGUUGGGGAGCUUGCUCUUCAGUGGCGCAGCUAACGUCUUAAGCAUCCCGCCUGGGGAGUACGGUCGCAAGAUUAAA